UGGAUCCAGACUUUGAUUAUGGCUCAGGACGAACGCUGGCGGCGCGCCUAACACAUGCAAGUCGAACGAGAGAUGAGGAGCUUGCUCUUCAAAUCGAGUGGCGAACGGGUGAGUAACGCGUGAGGAACCUGCCUCAAAGAGGGGGACAACAGUUGGAAACGACUGCUAAUACCGCAUAAGCCCACAGCUCGGCAUCGAGCAGAGGGAAAAGGAGUGAUCUGCUUUGAGAUGGCCUCGCGUCCGAUUAGCUAGUUGGUGAGGUAACGGCCCACCAAGGCGACGAUCGGUAGCCGGACUGAGAGGUUGAACGGCCACAUUGGGACUGAGACACGGCCCAGACUCCUACGGGAGGCAGCAGUGGGGAAUAUUGCACAAUGGGGGAAACCCUGAUGCAGCGACGCCGCGUGGAGGAAGAAGGUCUUCGGAUUGUAAACUCCUGUUGUUGAGGAAGAUAAUGACGGUACUCAACAAGGAAGUGACGGCUAACUACGUGCCAGCAGCCGCGGUAAAACGUAGGUCACAAGCGUUGUCCGGAAUUACUGGGUGUAAAGGGAGCGCAGGCGGGAGAACAAGUUGGAAGUGAAAUCCAUGGGCUCAACCCAUGAACUGCUUUCAAAACUGUUUUUCUUGAGUAGUGCAGAGGUAGGCGGAAUUCCCGGCGUAGCGGUGGAAUGCGUAGGUAUCGGGAGGAACACCAGUGGCGAAGGCGGCCUACUGGGCACCAACUGACGCUGAGGCUCGAAAGUGUGGGUAGCAAACAGGAUUAGAUACCCUGGUAGUCCACACCGUAAACGAUGAUUACUAGGUGUUGGAGGAUUGACCCCUUCAGUGCUGCAGUUAACACAAUAAGUAAUCCACCUGGGGAGUACGACCGCAAGGUUGCAACUCAAAUGAAUUGACGGA
rnacentral:rRNA from 1 species